UUCAUGAAUAUAAUAUGUAACCACUAAUCACAAUUUUGAAUUCAUACGCUAACAAAACCAUCAAAUCAUAUAUAGGAUCAAUAAUAAUCACUUAAUUAAUACUCAUGUGUUUUACAAUUGUAAACGCACAUAGACGUGAACACAGUUGAAGAGCUUGACAUCUUUGUUCUCAAUUUCAAUUGCAUACAUGGUAGAAAACCUUAUACAUGCCCCGUGGCUCCAACCCAUGCCCCUUUUUGCUAAUAUAUAUAAUAUCAGACGAUCAUUCACUUCGACGGCUCCGAGCAACAGCCACUCACGCGACAACUCCAAGCAGGAAAAUCAGAACCCAACACCUUUCCUGUUCAGAUCCAGAAAUAUAUGUCUAAACCUCCGCCGAUUAUCUCAAAAACUGGAACGCCACACACCCAAAAACAUAUACUCAUACCUUUCUUCUUUAGAAUAUCUCAGAAUUAGCAUCCUCACAGUUCGUCAAAAAAAAAAAAAACAUCGAAUAACUUGUUGAAAAAUGGCUUCCGAAUGAACUCCAAUGAUAGGAAAAAAAAAAAAAGCAGAGAAAGGAGAGGACAGAUUUUGGUGAACAAUUCUUGAAAAAUAAAUUGAAAUUCCCACCGUCAAUCCUCUGGAUUACUUUUGAUUCUUUGAAUCCUUGAAUCCUCU
rnacentral:lncRNA from 1 species